rnacentral:tRNA from 1 species
GGUGCAGUGGUCUAAGACACUGCAUUGCAGAGCAAGAGGUGUCACUACAGUCCCUGGUUCGAAUCCAGGCUGUAUCA